rnacentral:rRNA from 1 species
GAUGAACGCUAGCGAUAGGCUUAACACAUGCAAGUCGAGGGGCAUCGAGGUGUAGCAAUACACUGUCGGCGACCGGCGUAAGGGUGCGUAACGCGUAUGCAACUUGCCUGUCAGCGGGGGAUAACCCGGAGAAAUUCGGACUAAUACCGCAUACACUCUUUUCUUCGCAUGGGGGGGAAGAGGAAAGAUUAAUUGCUGACAGAUAGGCAUGCGUUCCAUUAGAUAGUUGGUGAGGUAACGGCUCACCAAGUCGACGAUGGAUAGGGGAGCUGAGAGGCUAGUCCCCCACACUGGUACUGAGACACGGACCAG